UACAGAGGUCUCAAGCGUUGUUCGGAUUCAUUGGGCGUAAAGGGUGCGUAGGCGGCGCGGUAAGUCGGGUGUGAAAUCUCGGAGCUUAACUCCGAAACUGCAUUCGAUACUGCCGUGCUUGAGGACUGGAGAGGAGACUGGAAUUUACGGUGUAGCGGUGAAAUGCGUAGAUAUCGUAAGGAAGACCAGUGGCGAAGGCGGGUCGCUGGGCCGAUACUGACGCUGAGGAGCGAAAGCGUGGGGAGCAAACGGG
rnacentral:rRNA from 1 species